UAGUAACUGCGAGUGAAGCGGGAAAAGCUCAAAUUUUGAAUCUGGCGGUCUUCAUGGCUGUCCGAGUUGUAAUCUAGAGAAGCGUCUUCCGCGCUGGACCGUGUACAAGUCUCCUGGAAGGGAGCGUCAUGGAGGGUGAGAAUCCCGUCUCUGACACGGACUGCCAGUGCUAUGUGAUGCGCUCUCGACGAGUCGAGUUGUUUGGGAAUGCAGCUCAAAACGGGUGGUAAAUUCCAUCUAAAGCUAAAUACAGGCGAGAGACCGAUAGCGAACAAGUACCGUGAGGGAAAGAUGAAAAGAACUUUGGAAAGAGAGUUAAACAGUACGUGAAAUUGCUGAAAGGGAAACGCUUGAUGUCAGUCACGUCCGCCAGGGAUCAACCUUGCUUAUCGUUGGGUGCAUUUCUUGGUUGGAUGGGUCAGCAUCAGUUUCGAUCGUUGUAAAAUGGUCAAGGGAACGUGGCACCUCUAGGGGUGUGUUAUAGCCUUUGGUCGUAUGCAUCGGUGGGGACUGAGGAACUCGGCACGACCUUCAUGGUUUCGUGUCUAGGAUGCUGGCAUAAUGGCCUUAAGCGACCCGUCUUG
rnacentral:rRNA from 1 species